AAGUUGAAAAUAUUUUGUCUGAAUAAUAAACCCACUUGAGUGCUUGGGUUCAAUCCACCUACCUAACUUGCUAAUAUCUUCCAUAGUGCAAUCAUUACCCAAUAUGGCAGGCCUAAUAUGUUUAGAUCAAAGCCUCCCUAGCCAAACCUAAAAUUGGCAAAACCAGCAUGGUCUAGCUAUUCAUAUGACUAUACACAUGUAUGUAUAUUUUAUAAGCUUUAUGUGGGUAUCUUUUCAAGGUACUUUUUUCAAACUUCAAGAUUCUAUUGAUGAAAUUAUUAUAAUCAAAUGGAUGUAAAAUAUUGGAAAAGAAAUGUAUAAUACUCGUUUACUACUAAAGAGAAAAAUUAUCAACUACCUAUGUUAAAAAUCUCCUAGUUCCAAAAUUUAGAAGGCUUAAAAAAGGAGAAACAAAUGCAAUUCCUCAUUUAAACUUGAGACCCUUCUUAUCUUUGUCAGUUUUACAUAACUAAAAUUCAAAGAAUAUAUGGAAAAAGCCAUCAUUAUGUGAAGAAAACCGUCUUAGCACCCUUUCCACCUAACUUCAUUGGAAAGAGAACACAACCAGUCCAUCCCCAUUCACCAAGAACUUGUUCCCAUUUGAACACGGAUCCUUACAAUCAGUUAGAUCUUUUCCUUACCUGCACCUUCUUGGAAUGGUCUAGUAUAAAGCUGUCAUAUAAUCUUUGGUUGUCAUUUUAUUCUCAUCUUGAACAGAUCUGUUUGUGCUUUUGUCUACGUCAUUCGAAUCAGGGUUGAAAUCUGAUAUUCAUAUUCUUUCAAAAUUGUUGCUAUUAUACUUAUUUUCUGCACUCUUGUUCUUGUAUUCUGCAGUACUAUUUAGUUACAACCUUUCUGUUUAGCGCUGAUAUUGAAUUGUUCUGAUUUGCCUUAAAACUUUUGUUCUGGGGUUUCAAACAUUUAUUGCAGUCUUCUAAUAGUGAGGGCAGGCUAAAUCUUCUUUUAUCAGCCAGUAAUCCUUUGAUUUUACGCUUCUUUCCUGUUUAUUGAAUCUGGAUAGCAAGAGUAAAGCUGAGCCAAACCCUAAAAUCUGCUGGCUUUUUAGGUCCCCCACAUAUUUCAGGUCAUCCAUACUUGGUCUUGCAUCACUCAUGUAGGUCAUGAUGACUUCCCAUUCCCGUGAAUUUCAUAUUUGUGAGGAACUUGGAUGGUGAAUCAGUUAAGCUUUCAAAAGUUUCUGCUUGCCCGUAAAGUAGUUUAGUUGGAGGAUGGAAAUCAAGAUUAAUAUGUAUAAAUCUGGGAGUUACGUAGCAUACUCUCUAAUGGGCUGCACAGCAUACAUGGAGAUAAUAGGAGCUUGCUUCUUGUCAUAAUUAAGCUUUUAUUCAGGUAUACACAAGAAUCGCCGAACUGGUACUGGUAGGUAUACCGAUUGGCUACCGGACCUGUACGGUACCGGUUCGGACCGGGUCCGAACGGGUACCACUGGUUCGGUCUAGUUCACGCAUCCAAAAGCCCAAAAAAAUUUGGAACAGGUGCGAACCGACUGGUUCGCACCGGUUCCUAGCCGGUACGAGCCGGUGCCGAACCGGACCGGUCAGAGACUAAACCGGUUUGGUACGGGCUGAACCGGCCGGUAUGGGCCGGUUCAGCAUUACAACUUGAUUUCUAAUCUUUAAAGGAUUACAACUUGAUUUGCUGAUAAUCAUUGGACAUGUAAAUAUAAUUGUAGCAAACAUAACACUUCAAAUUGUAUAUGCUUUGUACAUUAUCUAGAAGCCUUAUUCAUGACUUUCCAUUACAGAACCAUACUACAGCCAUUCACACUAGUAAUGGUUCAGAAUUCAUCAACUUAGUGGCAUAAUUCUCAAUUGUUCAGUUGAAUCAUCAGAAUAUUUUGUUUUGAUCGGAUGAUCAAGGUUAAAAGAAAAGGAGCUUGUCCUAACAUCUGCUUUUGUUGAUGCUCAUGCAACUUGCUCCUUGCUAAGAUCAUAAAUACGUUUGAUAAGUUGGAACAGAAAAAAAAGAUGGUGCAGCGGAAUGGGAGGUAAAAUUUAUGCCAUCUCUAACUUAUCAUAAUUACAUAGAGGAGAUUGCAGGGUUUGGAGGUGGCAAAAAAUCAUAGCAAAAGACAGAUGAAGCCUGGUCCUGACAGAAGGUUGAAAUGUACAGCAAGAAGAUAAUUUGAAGAAGAUUGAGGAAGCUAACAGUGUUAAAGGUAACAUGAAAUUAUCUGUUCAUUCUUGAUUUUUUUUAAUUGUGUCAUGGAAGAUUUGGAUCUUGCAAACCAAGAAGAGGAACUGAUCAAGAACAUAUUGGCUUGGAAGAAAAUUAAUUAUGUUCACACUUCACAGUUUGAGUGACACAGGAAAUAGGAGUGAGAUCUGCAAUGAAGUUUUGAUCUAUAAAUAUGUUUAACAUCAUGAUGUGCUGGGGUUGGGAAAUAGUGAUCCCUGCUUCUGAGGCUGAAGAGAAUUGUUGGAUCUCUAAGGGUGGAUAGGCAAUCAAUAAAUGCUUUUUAUCUAGGGAUGGGGUUAAAAUUGUUUCAUGAACAAGAUCGACAUUAUAGAGGAUGAUUCCAACAUACAUUGUGGGUCUUGUGGAAGAAGUAUAAGAAAAAAAUUUCUCUAAAUGAUAUCUUAGAUAUAAUCUUUAGAUGAUUUCAAUGUAUUGAACAAUUGCAGCUAAGAGGCUGGACAUUAAUUCUAAAAUCCAUGUGAUUUAGAUAGGUUGAAAACAGGUUGGAUGAAGUCCAUCCAUACCCUGUUCCAUACCAGCAUAUAGGUGCAAAUUUAUACAUCUGAUCUAUGUCCAGGUCCAAAUAUGGAUCAAGUUCUUAAUAAGAUUUUGAAUCCUGAUAUGGUUUUGGGUUUGGCUCCUUUCCUUUAUUCCUUAAAUUUGCUUAGCCCUCUUUCUUUCUCACGUGCCUAGAGAUGCCCCAGCUGUCAAUCCCACAACUGAUCCCAGCACCAUUCUGCCAAAACCUUGAACCAACACUGAGUGGUAGAGCCUGCCAGUGCAACAAAGGGAAGGACCCGGGUUCGCUAGUUGGGAGGAGGAGAAUUGCUUGGAGAGAGAGGAUAAGGGAAGAUAGAGGUGAAAGAGGAGAUGUGGUAUCAAGUAUUGAUGGACAUGAUGAUUUGAGUGGGAGAAAGCAAGAUGGGUAAAGACUCAAAACUUAAAUUAAGAGCAAUAUGAAAGUUUUGGAGGAGCUUAUAUGGAUUAAGGGGGGGUUAAAUUAUACGAAAUAUGCUACCUUUUCUAUGUUUCUAAUGCAUACCUUGAAAAGUUGCUUUCAGGGAUUAUAUCUUCAUUAUAUUGUAUUUUGCUUGCUCAUUUGUCAGCUUUGGCUAUUAGAUAUCUAAAUAUCUUUUAAAUCAGUUUUUUCAUCAGUACUCCUUUAGAUGAUAAUCAAAAUGUCACAGAAUUCCAUCAGAAUGGCCUUGUGAGUGAGAUAGUAUGAAACAGAUGCAUCUGAUGGCGAAAACCCUGCAGGGAAGGGGCUGAGCAUCAUUCUUAGAGGGGGAAAAAAGAUGGGGUUCUAUGCCUUGAUCCAUGUGUCUCUUUCUUUUUGGUGGCUAAUGGAAGUCUUUUGUGAUAUUUCUGAAAUUUUCAACAUGUUUACAGACACUUGUAGUCUCUACAAUGGCAUAGAACAGCAGAGUGAUUUCUUAGCUAUUUCUUUUUUAUUAAUGAUAAAUUCUAGUGAUAAUUUGAUCUAUCUCGGGUGUAUCAUACCAAAAAUGUAAUUGAUAUAUUUGAGAAAUUUUUAUUUUUGACCUUGUAGGUUUUAUAUAGCUUAUUGAUGGUCUUGUUGAACUAUAAGUAAUGGCAACAGUGAUGAUGCCUAACUUGUUGAAAAGACAUGGCUUGCAGCAGAAACCAUGUAAUUAUGGAAGCAGGAAGCAUAAUUUCAUGUCACUCAUAGUCAAAACCUGGUGACAAGUUGAAAACGAGUUCCUUUUUAUCUACACUGGAAGAAGUUUAGGAGACUCCAUGCAUUUAGCCAAGAAAAUACUUCAUGAUGGAGCUAUAAUUUAGAACUUUUUGCAGCAUGGACAUGGAUCUUUUACACAAUGCAUAAUUAGCACAAAAAUUCCUCCUGGAGAAGAUACCUUGGAAGAGAAAGAAGACUUUUUUUGAAUUGCAGCAUAUCAAGUUUUAUCAUUGGUCGGCUCCUGAUAGUAAUUGGAAGUCUCCUUAGGUUAAUCACUGCAAUACACAAAGAUCAGAAGUUGCUCCUGGAAUUCGUUCUGUGCAUGCAGAGAUUGGAUGGCUGGAUCAAACAUCGUAAAUAAAUAGUUACAAGAAAAGGAGCCCUGCAGUACUAGAGAUCAGCUAAACUUUCUUUAAAUGUGAUUGCAUUCACUAUGAAGAUUUUGAUGAGCAGGAUUCUAACAAUGGUUACAACAUUGUACUUGGUAGAUUUGGUGUUUUGUUGCUGUUGCUUCAGUUGCAAACUGCAAGCUAAUUUGAUAUGUAGAAUAUUACAUCAGUUCGGCUGUGUUUGAUAAGGUUUCAGAAUUGAGAACCCAUCUGAUUUUUCACAAGAAGUAAUUUGACAAUUAAGUUGGUUCA